UUCCUCCCCCUGUUUCUGGCCUGCUCAUUCUUUCCCUCUCUUCCUGCCUCUGAAGAUGAUGGAGACUUUGUUGCAAGCCUCUAAACUUCAAAAGGCUACUCAAGUACCAGUGGCCAGAGGGAGAUGUGGUUGGCAAGCUUAAGAAGCAGAAACGACAAGAUUCAAACAAAUGGUGACCUCUUCUUUUAGAACCCAGGGAGUGAAUAUUUCCUGAAACGCUAGAAAGAGUAAAGGAAUAUUGAUUUGCGAAAAGU